rnacentral:rRNA from 1 species
GGGGAAUAUUGGACAAUGGGGGGAACCCUGAUCCAGCCAUGCCGCGUGUGUGAAGAAGGCAUUUUUGUUGUAAAGCACUUUAAGCGAGGAGGAGGCUCUUCUAGUUAAUACCUAGGAUGAGUGGACGUUACUCGCAGAAUAAGCACCGGCUAACUCUGUGCCAGCAGCCGCGGUAAUACAGAGGGUGCGAGCGUUAAUCGGAUUUACUGGGCGUAAAGCGUGCGUAGGCGGCCAAUUAAGUCAAAUGUGAAAUCCCCGAGCUUAACUUGGGAAUUGCAUUCGAUACUGGUUGGCUAGAGUAUGGGAGAGGAUGGUAGAAUUCCAGGUGUAGCGGUGAAAUGCGUAGUGAUCUGGAGGAAUACCGAUGGCGAAGGCAGCCAUCUGGCCUAAUACUGACGCUGAGGUACGAAAGCAUGGGGAGCAAAC